rnacentral:rRNA from 1 species
CCUANGGGGGGCAGCAGUGGGGAAUUUUGGACAAUGGGGGCAACCCUGAUCCAGCCAUGCCGCGUGCGGGAAGAAGGCCUUCGGGUUGUAAACCGCUUUUGUCCGGAAAGAAAAGGCAUCCCCUAAUACGGGGUGUCCUUGACGGUACCGGAAGAAUAAGCACCGGCUAACUACGUGCCAGCAGCCGCGGUAAUACGUAGGGUGCGAGCGUUGUUCGGAUUCACUGGGCGUAAAGGGUGCGUAGGCGGUCGGGUAAGUCUAACGUGAAAUCUUCAAGCUCAACUUGGAAACUGCGUCGGAUACUACUCGGCUAGAGGAAUGGAGGGGAGACUGGAAUACUUGGUGUAGCAGUGAAAUGCGUAGAUAGCAAGUGGAACACCAGUGGCGAAGGCGAGUCUCUGGACAUUUCCUGACGCUGAGGCACGAAAGCCAGGGGAGCAAACGGGAUUAGAUACCCCUNUANUC